rnacentral:rRNA from 1 species
AGAGUUUGAUCCUGGCUCAGAACGAACGCUGGCGGCAGGCCUAACACAUGCAAGUCGAACGCUCGUAGCAAUACGGGAGUGGCAGACGGGUGAGUAACGCGUGGGAACCUUCCCAGUGGUACGGAAUAGCUCAGGGAAACUUGAGGUAAUACCGUAUAAGCUUAGGGGGAAAGAUUUAUCGCCAUUGGAUGGGCCCGCGU